UUCAUCUCUGCCAUAAAUGUACAUAAAUUAUUGUGGUGCCUACGCCUGACGUGGUUCCCAUUCAUAGAACUUCUCUUAAUCAAUCUGAUUGUUCAAGCACUCUGAUCAGUAUACUUCUGUUGAUGGAAAUAGUGUUUGUAUUUAUAAAUCAUGGGACUGAGGCAAGUGUUCAAAUCCUUUGCUCUCAAUCCACGUAAGUGAUGCACAAGAUUUGUAAGAGCAAACUCAAUUGUGGCAACUACAAACUGCAUUUCUCUACAAAUCUUUCAGCAAACUUGAAAUCAUCUCAUUGGAAAUCUAAACAACUAGUCUUAAAUCUCUUGGGUAUGAUUUCUUUGUGCAAGCCCAAGAUUUCGAGUCCCUCAUUAUGAUCACUCUUGCUUUGAUGAUUACUAUUGUCUUUGAUGGUUUUUCUUGAGGAAGUAGUAAUGAAGUUGGAGGAUGUUGUCUUAUCACUUCUUUCAUUAUUGACGCAAGGCCUCACUUCCCUUCAAACUCUGUUAAUUGAAGAUUGUCCAGGACUGAAAUCUUUCUCAGAAGGCCACCAACUGCUUCUUCCUACUCUCAAGGAAAUGACAAUCUUUGAAUGCUAUCUCAUGUUCAGUAAUGGGAGAACAAGUUUUGAAAAGCAUGGUCACAAUUUCUUUCCUUUGUCAGCAAUUUUCAUUUGUUCUAUUGCAUGUUUCGUAUAUUUCUACUUCAACAAGCCUAAUACCUAGGUGAAGAAGUGCGGAGGGUAGGGAAGAGAAUCUUGUGGGUGGAAUUGUUUUAGUACUUACAAGUCAUGGGAACUGAGGUUAGUGUUUCAAUUUAUUCAAAACCUCUGCACUCAAUCCAUCUGGCAUUUCCUAACCAAAGUGAUGAUGCACAACAUUUGCAAGAGUAAAUUCAACUGUGGCAACUGGCUACUGCAUUCCGCAUUUGGCCCAGCACUAAAUGAAAUAGACUCGAAAUCAUGUCAUCUGAAGUCUAAAUCUCUGUUCAUAAAUUUAUUUAAUAUGAACUCUUUGAGCAAGUCUUAAGAUUUUAGACACCUCAAUAUUGCUGUCACAUUAACGAUCACCUUUGUUUUUGUGGUAAUCCUAUAGCCCUCCAACUCAGUGUCCUUGAUGCUGUAAAGCACAUCUUAUUGGGAUCCUCCUUGGUCAACAUUGAACUUUUUCCAUCCGCCGUCUUCGCCUUGUCUUGCAACUUCUUCAUUACUUUUGGAUUCGAAACGAGCACUGUCACAGCCCACUCCAAGAUAUUCAUGAGGGCCCGACCAAAGUUCAUAUUUAGAGAAGAUGAUGCACACCUGAUUCUCGUAUCUCUUUGUGCAAAAAAUUUAGAGUUUUCUUACUCAAAGAUUGUUUGAAUGUACAGUCAGUUCUCAACCGCAAGUUUGUGUCUGAUUAUGGCCAUGACUGAGCAAAUGCCUCAGGAAUUAUCAGAACUUGACAUGUUGAAGAACUAAAGGAUUCAUGAAAU